AGUUCUCCCUGACCCUUUAAGGGUCCUGAAGGAACGUUGAAGACGACGACGUUGAUAGGCCGGGUGUGUAAGCGCAGCGAUGCGUUGAGCUAACCGGUACUAAUGAACCGUGAGGCUUAACCUUACAACGCCGAAGCUGUU
rnacentral:rRNA from 1 species